rnacentral:rRNA from 1 species
UACGUAGGGGGCAAGCGUUGUCCGGAUUUAUUGGGCGUAAAGAGCGUGUAGGCGGCCACACAGGUCUGCUGUGAAAACUCGAGGCUCAACCUCGAGCUGUCGGUGGAAACCGUGUGGCUAGAGUCCGGAAGAGGAGAGUGGAAUUCCCGGUGUAGCGGUGAAAUGCGCAGAUAUCGGGAAGAACACCCGUGGCGAAGGCGGCUCUCUGGGGACGGUACUGACGCUGAGACGCGAAAGCGUGGGGAGCGAACAGG